UGCCCCCUCGUCCAAUGGUUAGGACGCCGGUCUUUGGAUCCGGUAAUGGUGGUUCGAGUCCACCGGGGGCAA
rnacentral:tRNA from 1 species